CAGUCCAGUGUCUCCUAGAAGAAUCACCCGCCUAAUUCUAACCACACUCGGAGCCGUGAAGUCCAGAUGAUCCUCUUCUCUGUAGUCUGUAUUGGAGGCAAUUAGCCUCAGAAGCUCCCGUUAUGACCUUUCCGUCACUCUGGUCUCUUCAGCUAAAGAUCUCCUUCAUUUGCUUCAUCUCUCACUGGCCCACAAAUCUCUCAAACUCACCCAACAAUGCCAUGCUCGAAUUCUCUCUCUUGGUUUCACCCAACACCCCCUUUUGGCCAUAGAACUCGUGUCUGCAUACGCUGUAUAUGGUGUCCCAACUCGUUUUUAACUCGCUCCAAAUCAAGAGUGUUUAUCUAUGGAACUCAUUGAUUAAUGGGUGUGUGAAAAAUCAUGUUUAUAAUGAAGCUUUUGGUUGGUUUUAUCAAGUUCCCGUGGUGUUUUGCUUGAUGAUUAUACACUUGCAACGAUGUCAAAGGUUUGUGGUGAGAUUGGUGACUUGAAUUCAGGGAAAUUGAUUCAUGGGAACUGUUUGAUGAAAUACCUGAAAGAAAUGUGGGUGCUUGGAAUGCUAUUAUAUCGGGAUAUGCGGAUUCAGGGGACUUUAAUUUUGAUAAGGAUAUGUCAGAUUUUGUUAAAGAUAUGCAAAUCGAGGGGUUAAAACCUGAUGUAAUCACAGUCUCUUCUCUUUUGAGUUUGCGUGGCGGGGAUAUGGUGAAAGGGAACUAUGGGAGAGAACUCCGUGGGUUUAUAGUGAGAAACGAGUUGGCUGUGGGUUCGGAGUUUCAUUUGGGAUCUUGCUUGAUAGAUAUGUAUUCUAGGUGUAAUAAAGUUCAUCUAGGUAGAAGGGUAUUUGAUAGCACGAAGGGUGGGAAUGUUUAUACUUGGACAGCAAUGAUCAGUGGUUAUGUUUAGAAUGGAUCUCUAGAGGAAGGACUGGUUCUUUUUCAUGAAAUUCAGGUGAGGGAUGAAGUAGAACUUAUUAAGGCUUCGCUUGUGAGUGUUCUUCCUGCUUGUAGCGCAGUUUCUGGUUUAAAUUCAUGAAUAUGCCAUCAAGAAGGAAUUUAAUGAUGAUGUUUCCUUAUGUAAUGCUUUGAUCGGCAUUUAUUCCAAGUGCGGGAGCUUGGAUCAUGCAAAACAUGUCUUUGAGCAUGGUUCUUUUCAUAGGGAUCCAAUAUCUUGGAGUUAAAUGAUUUCUGACUAUGGAUUGCAGGGGAAGGGAGAGGAAGCUAUCUUUGUAUACAACAAGAUGCUUCAUCUUGGGAAUAAAUCAGACAUGAUAAGAAUAGUAGGGGUUCUUUCUGCUUGUGGUCGGUCAGGAUUGGUAGAUGAAGACCUGCGCAUCUAUAUAUCUACAAUAAAUGAAUAUAGGAUCAAGCCAACGGUUGAGAUUUGUGCUUGUAUUGUGAAUAUGUUAGGCCGAUCAGGCUAGCUUGGCUGAGCUUUAGAUUUUAUUAAAUCCAUGCCAAUGGAACCUAGUCCAGGUGUUUGGGGGGUGCUUGUUAGUGCUUCCAUAAUCCAUGGAAAUGCUGAGAUGCAGGAUCUGGCUUGUAGGUUCCUUAUUCACUUAGAAUCUGAAGGCCCUCCGAAUUAUGUCUCACUUUCAAACUUGCAUGCGUCUUCCAGGAGAUGGGGUGUAGUAUCUGAGGUGAGAAAAAUGAUGAAAGAAAGGUGCUUAAAAAAAACUACCGGGUGCGGUUGGAUAAGCAUUAAUAACACCCCUCAUUCUUUCUAUGAUGCUGAUAAACUGCAUCCAUGUUCCAAGUCAAUGUAUCAACUGCUGGAUGACCUCGUAUUGUUGAUAAAAGGAGCUGCUGUUCCUCAUAAUUUUGAAAAUUUGACAUGGGUGCCUUAAAUAUUGAUAUGCUGUUUUCUGUCUCCCUUGACAAUUGAGGAUAUCUUAUGUAAUCCAUAACCAUAUGCACAGAUAUGCAUUCGUUAACCAAAUGAUUGAGACUCGACUGCUGUCUAUACCUCUGGACAUGUUUGCUGAAAAUUUUGUCAUUCGGGCGAAUUUUGCUUGUAUUCUCAAACUAGCCAAGUUGUUUCAUGUUAGGCUGUGUGGAUUGAUAAUAUGGACACAGCAUUCUAGUUGCGCUUCGGCUCGCCUUUUUUUUUUUUUUUCAAAAAUAAUUGAAACAAAAGGAGUGCAGCCAACCUCGAAGAUAAUUCACAAGAUCUGAAGACUUGCCGAACUGCUAGCGGCACCUGAUUGGCGGGGCAGUGAGUCACAUUCCAUAACUGUCAGGAGCAAUAACAUGCAAGCAUCGUUUGACAGUGCUGGGAUUGACGACUUUUUUUUUUUUUUCUUUGUAGAUAAAAAAUUGAAUAUCUAGCAACAAGAUUGUUGGAGCGCAAAACACUUGCCAAUAAGCUGAAACAGGAAACAGGGUUGCUAGCGUUCCAUAUGGUUCUUCAUACGUGGCUUCCAUUGUAACCAUGUGAUAUCUCCAUGCUUGAUGUUCAAACUUCUUCACUUUGCCAAAUUUGUUACGGAAGCGUGGAUUAGUCAACAAAACUAUGUAUGGAAUAAUACCAGUCUAUUAUUGACAUGUUGCCCAUGGCUGGUGGUUCAAUUGGAGGACAGUCUAAAAGUUCAGAAAAUUGUGAGACAUUUUCUAGCAUGCGAAGAAAGAAAAGACGGACUUUUGUGUUUUCUGCAACUAUAGCAUUAUCUGCUGAUUUUCGCAAGAAGCUAAAGCGUGGCUCAAUAAAAACAAAGCAAUCAACUGUUGCAGGACUGAAUUCUAUAGAAAUGCUCCCUGAACGAGCAGGAAUGAGAGUUAAUGCUACCAUCAUUGAUCUGACAAAGGUGUCGAUUGUCGCAAAUAAGCUCGAGGAAUCAUUUAUGGAGUAUUUGUCUCACAUUUGAAUUUCUGCAGCUAUUAAUCAGUUGCUUUCUCAAUGUAAGUAUAAUGACUGCAGAUGUAGGGAAGAAGAUAAAGAUGCUUACCUUAUUAUAUAUUGAAUGUUCAUGGACAAGGUCGCGCAAUUGUUUUCUGCAUAUCGAUUGCAGCUUUGCACCAUAUUUCUGCCCUUCUGUGAAUUCUAUGCAUCAAUAUGUGGACACUUCAUGUUCAGAUGCAGCAGCGAGAUCGUUUGAAGGAAAGUUUUCAGACAUUUCCUUUUGAAGAAUUGUACUUGCCAGAGGUGAUGAGAAGGCUGUCUCUUACACGUCAAAUAGACAAGAUUACAGUAACGAUUCCCAGGAGAAGGCAAAUAAAACCGGGUUUGAGCGAAAUGCAGACUCAGUUGAGUUAAUGGUGGAGAAUGAUGACAGUGAGAAGGAAAGAGUGAAACUCCAU